GUGUCAGCCGCCGCGGUAAUACGGAGGGUGCGAGCGUUGUCCGGAAUCAUUGGGUGUAAAGGGUGCGUAGGCGGGCUGCUAAGUCUGGGGUGAAAUCCUGCCGCUUAACGGUAGAAUGGCCCCCGAUACUGGCAGUCUUGAGUACAGAAGAGGUCGGUGGAAUUCGUAGUGUAGCGGUGAAAUGCAUAGAUAUUACGAAGAACACCAGUGGCGAAGGCGGCCGGCUGGUCUGUAACUGACGCUGAGGCACGAAAGCGUGGGGAGCGAACAGGAUUAGAUACCCUGGUAGUCCACGCUGUAAACGAUGUAUGCUAGGUGUCGGCCCUUCGGGGUCGGUGCUGCAGUUAACGCAGUAAGCAUACCACCUGGGGAGUACGUCGGCAACGAUGAAACUCAAAUGAAUUGACGGGG
rnacentral:rRNA from 1 species